CUGUGCUAGGCGGGGAGUUAGCGGUGCCCUGAACCUGCAAUCCGCUAUAGCAGGGCCGAAUUCCCACCCGAGGCCUGUGCGGUCUCAGGCUGGCCGUAGCAGGCAGCGUUGAAGGUCCAAGCCCCGCGCAAUAGGAACGUGCCCAACCCCGUCAGGACCGGAAGGUAGCAGCGGUAAGCAUAGUUUCUAUGUGCCGCGGGAUUCCUUGGCCGGAGCUGAAUGCGAAAGCCAGUUGAGAUGCGGCCGGGUCGACGGUGGGUGCACAG
rnacentral:SRP_RNA from 1 species